UUUGUGUUCUCAAAUCCAAUUUAUUAAUUUUUAUUUUCAAGUCUUAUUAUUUUAAUUCACGUGAAUGAGAAAGUCAUUCGAGUCUCUUGGGAAGAACGAUAUUGGGUUUUACCAAUUAUGUUACUUGUACGAUUUGGUACCCUUACCAAUUUGUCAACAAUAUUCUCCUUGCUUGAUAUUCUUUUCUUUUUCUUCUUCUUGCUGAAUCUCUUCAAAAAGUUGAUCAAACCAAGCACCUGUUUCCAUGUAUCAAUCAUAGGAACUUUAAUCUCUAAUUUCUUGAAGAUCUCCAUAAAGCACUUAAACUUCUUUUCUUUCCUAAGAUUUUUCUUCUGAUGAGGAAGGGUUUUGCAUAUGAUCUUUUCUUUUUUCCUCUCUUCCUCUUUCUCUCAAUCUUUUCCUCCGUCAACUUUCUCCUUUUAUUUUUCCUUGAUUUCUUCUUUUUUAUUUUCACACUUUUUUCCUUUUUUUCUUUUCUCUCAACCAUUCCUUUUUCUUUCUCCUCAUCUUUCUCUCCCUCACUCAACCUUUCUGUAUCUUUCUCCUCUAUCUUUUCCUCAUCUCUCUCUAUCUUUUCCUCAUCAACAACCUUAUCAAUUUGUGUCUCCAAAUUCCUAAAGGUAACUUCUUAACUCUUGGAAUCGUACUUCUUCAAAAAUUUGUCGAAUUUUUCAUAUUGUUCCAUCAAAUCAACUAUCUGAUGACAUAGUUGUUGAUCAGCCUCCCACGUUUCUGUUGAUAAAGAAAGUUGUUGCUGCCAUAAAUGUUGUUCAGCUUCCCGCAACGUUUCUUUUCGCAAAGAGGAUUGUUUUUGCCAAAGACGUUGUUCGGCUUCCCCCAAUGUUUCUCUUGGCAAAGAGGAUUUUUGCCCAAAUUGGCUUUGAUACAUGUUUG
rnacentral:lncRNA from 1 species